CGCGAGGCCAGACGCAAUUAAACACGCACACCUCCAGACAAGUCAACCAGAUCAAUUCACCGGCACCAGGCAGAGGGGAUCAAACACGGUGCGAAUUUGCUUGAGGUAUGAAUCUGAAGGAGCCGUGUGACGGAGGAAUACGAGCCCAGGUUGCCAGACUGGUCUCCGCAUUGAAUUACUGCUGGGUGGUCUCCUCCUGACUGUCUGGCAGGCUCACCACUUUGCUACCUGGCAAAUAUCGAGGGAUGGAAGGCUCUGAUUGGGCAUGAAAGAUCGGACAACUGUCCUGCAUUUCCAGGAGAACGUCAGACUGCUAUGAUGGACACGUUUGGGGUCUGUUUCGACUCUCUGCAGUAAUUGACCAGCGGUGGAACGGUUGGUGAGACG